rnacentral:misc_RNA from 1 species
AACCUUAUGGACCUGCGGGCGUAUACCUGCGGAGGGAUCAUUAAAAAAAAUGAUGAAUGUCGGGGGGGCGUUUGUUCCCCCGUGUAUUCAACCAACCCGCUCUUGUAUUUGGAUCAACCAAAAAUCUAAAAAGCAAAAAUUAUAAUUAAUAAAAAAUAAACUUUCAACAACGGAUCU